rnacentral:rRNA from 1 species
UACGUAGGGGCCGAGCGUUGUCCGGAGUUACUGGGCGUAAAGCGCGCGCAGGCGGUUUGUCGCGUCUGCUGUGAAAACUCGGGGCUUAACUCCGGGCCUGCAGUGGGUACGGGCAGACUAGAGUGCGGUAGGGGAGACUGGAAUUCCUGGUGUAGCGGUGAAAUGCGCAGAUAUCAGGAGGAACACCGGUGGCGAAGGCGGGUCUCUGGGCCGAUACUGACGCUGAGGAGCGAAAGCGUGGGGAGCGAACAGG